GGAUUUUUGUGUAAUAUGCAACCUUGACUUAGUUUGAUAAAGAUUACCGCGAACAGCAGAUCUUGUAUUAUAGUUGUGACUUUCACUAAUAGUAGUGAAAAAUGAUGACAUGUUGAUGGGCGCCCUUUCAUUUAUAAUGUCAUGCAUAUUGCAAGCAACAUUGUAAAAGUACAGAAAGUUAACUGGAAGUAUUCCGGAAGCACUGAAAAGCGGUACAGCGUGUUCUCUAAAAUUUGCAAAAUUCAUUAGUCGAAUAGCCCGUUUCUGGAGGACGAGAAGGUGGUGGAGAUGCGUUUUACACGCUUGACCCCAAAC
rnacentral:lncRNA from 1 species